rnacentral:rRNA from 1 species
UACGGAGGGUGCGAGCGUUGUCCGGAUUCACUGGGCGUAAAGGGCGCGUAGGCGGCGGGCUCAGUCGGUUGUGAAAGGGCGCGGCUCAGCCGCGUCUUGGCAACCGGGACGGGUUGGCUGGAGCGUGGCAGAGGGAUGCGGAAUGCCGGGUGUAGUGGUGAAAUGCGUAGAGAUCCGGCGGAACACCAGUGGCGAAGGCGGCAUCCUGGGCCAUAGCUGACGCUGAGGCGCGAGAGCGUGGGGAGCAAACAGG